rnacentral:rRNA from 1 species
CCGAUGUAUGGGCGGAGCCUGAUCAGCCAUGCCGCGUGUGUGAAGAAGGCCUUCUUGGUUGUAAGCUCUUUUAGCGAGGAGGAGGCUACUCUAGUUAAUACCUAGGGAUAGUGGACGUUACUCGCGCAAUAAGCACCGGCUAAAUCUGUGCCAGCAGCCGCGGUAAUA